UGCCACUCCUGUCCCCUGGCUGCUCUCCUCACCCUCACUUUGGCAGUGGCUUUAGGCUCUGCCUUGGGAGGGCAAGGCAAGGAUCUGGGAGACUCAGUAAGCACUGAAAGCAGUUCUUGACAUUUCUGACAGUGACAUGACCUGCUGCUGGAUUUGGCGACAGCGAAGUGGUCACUCAGUUCCAGGUGAUGCCAAUGCUGCUGGUCUGGGACCACCCUCUGAGCAUGACCCGCCAGGAAGAACAAAGAGGACUCAGAGCUGGGGAGGUUAAGAGGAGACCUCACACUGAGCAAGGCCCUGAAGACCUGGUAGGACUUCCCCAGCAGGAGCCUGUGGGGAGGGGGUGGGGAUAGGUGGAAAAUAGGCUGUGUGCUGCCUUUGCUGACCUGCACGUCCCAGGCCUCAUAAAGCUCCUCCACAUCCCCCACGUUCAGCGACUCUCGUUUGAAUUCAAUCAAUCCUCAGAGCUGGCUCUCACUGGAGUUGGCCUGUCUGAGUCCUGGGUUGGAAACAAGCUGCCCACCUGUGCAGCGGAAGCUCCCCUCCCCCCACCUCCCCAAGGGCAGCCGAGGAGGAAGGA
rnacentral:lncRNA from 1 species